rnacentral:rRNA from 1 species
UACAGGGGGCGCGAGCGUUGCUCGGAAUCACUGGGCGUAAAGCGUACGCAGGCGGGUCGAUAAGUCCGUUGUGAAAUCCCGGGGCUCAACCCCCGGAAAUGCGAUGGAGACUGCCGAUCUUGAGUACGGGAGAGGGGGAGCGGAAUUCCUGGUGUAGAGGUGAAAUUCGUAGAUAUCAGGAGGAACACCGGUGGCGAAGGCGGCCUUCUGGACAGUGACUGACGCUGAAACGCGAAAGCGUGGGGAGCAAACAGG